UAAACAGUGACAAUAUGUCAAAUAGUUGCAUACGUAUAAAUAAACAAACAGUAAUAAAGUUAAUUACAGAUGUUAAGUUCAAACAAGACUUGAGCGCAAAUAGAGUCUGGUGUUUACGUUCGGUUUGAGUUCGCUGAUGAACAACAAUUCCAAGACCAGACACUCCAACUUUUCCUGUUCCCUGACACAGCUGUCGGCGGAAUAUAAGAACCAGGCUUUAUAUGAGCUAUAUUAGGUACAUGGUGCCCCGGAGGGUAUGGUCAUGGUUUUUCACCCGUUUUGGUCAUAAAUAGAGUAAGGGUUUUAGGGAGCAGGCCGCACAACCUCACUCAAUUAUUAUGGAAACAAUCCCUCCUCUCCCCCUCCCCUCCGCCUAAACACCCACACUCGGGCAAAAUAUGGAUUACGCGCGAAGUAUGUCACGACACCCACUCGAGCGGUUAACGCGCGAGAUGGGUGAACGUUCCCAGCAUUCUUUGCAACAGCGGUUCGUCCAUUUUGUUGAACCGCGAAAGUUAAACGAGGCUGAAAAAAAGUAGACUAAAAGGGAAGAACUUCGCUUGGAGCUGGAGAACUUUGUUGUCGGGCGAUUGAACUCGGUUUGCCGUGAUCACAUGUGAUACAUGUAGCUGACUACAGUACAUGGCCCAACUGUGAAAACUUGCAUCAACUUGCAUGCAAAUUUGAUCUUGACCAAACUGAAGACAAAAUACCUGAGGACAAGACAGGAGGAGGAUAUUAUCCACAAGCUUAUUCUAGAAUAAUGAUUUUUUUUUUUUUUUUUUGCAAUCCAGGACCAGGUAAACACUUGUGUUCUUAUGCAAUGAUCAAAUCAAAACUUAACCUGGUUCCUUAAGGAGAAUCGCCGAAGGGCAUCCAUACAGGGUACCCAAGUCAUUGAAUUCUACAGCAGAAACAUAAUUAAAAUGCACCCCCUUUUUUUCCUUUUUAAUUAAUGCACUAUUAUUAUAAGAUCCAAACUAGUCAGGGAAGUUUUUGUUUUUCCAAAUCAGGGAAAGUUCACCUGGAGAAUAAGUAGAGAAAAUGGAAAGGUUCCCUUUUGUACUGUACCUUUGGCAUAUAAAAUAACUAGAAUAAACUACUGAACUAACUCCAUUCGAAUUAAACCUAUAGUACGACACACUUUCAGUAAGUGACCACCAAACUAACUACAUGUAAGAACAGACACUACUCAACUUAUACCAACAACUACUUGCCCCUACAGUAGUCACUAUGGUAUUUCUUGACCUCAGCAGGACUCAUAUGAUGUUCUUCAACCAGCCUCAACACAAACUUCACCACUGAUUACUACCUAUUACCCUGACAGGUUCUCAAAGCAUCAGUGCUUUCACACUAGACAAACUACUCAGUGAUACUUGUACACUUUUUUUCUUUGUGGUUGGCAACUUGACAGUUGUUCCUUUGGGCACCUCAGAAU